CAGCAGCCGCGGUAAUACAGAGGGUGCGAGCGUUAAUCGGAUUUACUGGGCGUAAAGCGUGCGUAGGCGGCUUCUUAAGUCGGAUGUGAAAUCCCUGAGCUUAACUUAGGAAUUGCAUUCGAUACUGGGAAGCUAGAGUAUGGGAGAGGAUGGUAGAAUUCCAGGUGUAGCGGUGAAAUGCGUAGAGAUCUGGAGGAAUACCGAUGGCUAAGGCAGCCAUCUGGCCUAAUACUGACGCUGAGGUACGAAAGCAUGGGGAGCAAACAGGAUUAGAUACCCGCGUAGUCCCUGUCUCUUAUAC
rnacentral:rRNA from 1 species